CUGCUGCUCGUCAGCGGCUCCAGCUUUAGCAUCAGCAUCGAAGAAGAGUUAAACUUAAACGUCGACGACUAUGACAUAGACAUCAUGGAGAUGAUGCCAGACGAGCCGGACCACCUGGAAGCGAUGCCAGCCAGCUUGAUCCAGCAGCAAGAAGCUGAUGUGCAACAGCACGGGCACAGCGUUGGCUUACACUUCGAGGGAAUGCAGCAGCCAAUUAAUGUUGCCGAGCCGGAGCACGACGACGGCCGAUCCAUCCAUCCUACGUCUGGUGAUCCGUUGUUGGCUGCCCAAGCCAGCUUCGACUUCGAGGGAAUGCAGCAGCCAACUACAGUCGCCGUGUCGGAGCAUGAUGACGGCCGGUCCGUCCAUCCACUGUCUGGUGGUCCGGUGUUGGCCGCCCAAAUCAGCUACGACUUCGAGGGAAUGCAACAGCCAACUACCGUCGCCGAGUCGGAGCACGACGACGGCCAGUCCGUCCAUCCACUAUCUGGUGGUCCAGUGUUGGCCGCCCAAGUCAGCUUCGACUUCGAGGGAAUGCAGAAGCCAACUACAAUCGCCGAGCCGGAGCACGACGACGGCCGGUCCAUGUCCAUCCAGCUACCGAGAAUGUGCAGCUACACGCCGAGUGGGGUGCACACAUCUGCAACCAAGAUACAGCGCAACGGGCUUCUUCAAGGACCUGAUGAUGCACAUUCUCUGCUCUUUUAA
rnacentral:misc_RNA from 1 species